UGACUGACAGACAGAUAGAAUUCUUGGUUUUCGGCUGUGCUAUAACUAUAAUAAUAUAAGCUAAUGUGUUGAUGGAUGAUAAUUUGUUCAGUUUCCUCGGCACGUAUUUUGCUUUAUACUCUUCCAGCAUUCGAUACUUUAUUAUCCUAGAAAGUUCAUCCAAAAAUAAAAUUAUAAACUAAUGUUCCGCUAAAAAUUCUGUCGACAAUGAUUUUAAGAUCAUUAUUUUCUGUGUUAUCAUUAAGUCCUAAUAAUCUAACGAGUAAUAUCCACAAGCUCACUUGUCCCACAACAUGGAAAAGUAUAUUAAAAAUAUCACCAUCACCAUGUGAUAUUUAUAUAAGAACUAUUGCGGUGUCAACUACAUCAUAUAAAGGUAGAACGAGGGCAAAGGUGAAAAGUGAUUUUGAUUCAACCAAAGCAAGAAUAGUCUUAGAUCUCAACUUGAAAUCACCAGAAGAUGCUUUACCCUUUUAUAAAUUACCACUAAGAACAUUGGUUCACAUACACAACACUACAAAAGAGGAUGUAAAAAAAGGAUUUUGUCAAAAUAGACUUUAUUACAUUUCAUCACGUCUUAAGGUACCACCGUCAAUGCUAAGAGAAAAGCUUGUUAUGAGGACUUUCAUUUAUAGCUUAUCAUUUGAUUGGAUUGAGAAAGCAUUAGAUGUAUUACUAGAAAUGAAUGUGGCUGCUGAUCGAAUAAUGAGGGACUUGUGGGUUUUGAAGUAUCACCAUGAAACAAUUCGUGAAAGACUUGUAAGGGUAAAAGGUAUGGGUGUAGAAAAUCUAUAUCCAUGGAUGGUGAGAUGUUCUGAAGAUAUAAUGAAUAGAUUUUUGGCUAUUUCACAAGAAACAAAGGACAUUUUGGGAGACAGUGUAUCAAAACAAACUUAUCUUGCUAACCGUCUUAAUGUCUCUGUUGACACUGUUCAAGAAAUGUGUUUAAAAAUACCUGCACUGCAAACCAUUCGAGUGACAAAGGUGAAACAUUUUCUGGAUUUUCUUAUUACUGAGGGCUUUGAUGUGGAAGAAAUAGCCAAUAAGCCUAGAGUGUUAUCAGCGUCUCAGAAGACUGUAAAGCAGAGGCUUGACAGGCUCCGUGAAUUGGGGUUAAACCAAAUAAAUUUAAAUGUACUCUGUAGGAGCAAGAAAGAUUUCAAAAAGUACUGUGAAUCAAUUGAAUCGUUAUCGAAGGAAGGUAAGUCAUAUUUAUAGGACAUGAUUCUAUCAUAUUUCAUUACCCAGCAAAUAAUUUAAGCAAGAGUUGCUGUACUUAAAUAAUAAUGGGUUACAAUUGUGUGUAUAUGAACAUAUUCAAUAUAUAUCUAUUAAGACUACAAAUAACAUGCAAAAAAAAAUUUCAUGCACUGCAAAAUGUCCUAGGGUGUAGGCAAAAUCUAGUCAAGUGUAAGGGCUUCUUCACAUGUACCACAACUACACCACGUCGCAGCGACAAAAUGUGGUCAAGCUGUGACUGCGUGGGAAUAGUUUCGUAGCGGCUUUUUGCAGUUGCGUUGUGGUACCGACAAAAUGUCGAUGUGGUUGCGUUGUCGCAGUCGUUGCGAUGCCGAUGUGGUAACCACGUGGUCAUGUGUAAUGUAAAUAUGUACCUAGAUGGAGGAAAGAUUGUUGUUGCUAUCCUUCUUUAUCCAUGUCGUGACGAUGUGAGUGCUGGGGUUGCCGUCGCGAUGUGCUCGAUAACGAUAAAAUGUGGUACGUGUAAAUUGUAAUAUUAAUUUUCAAUACAAAAUAUACUCCCAACCACAUGGCGUCUUCGCGACUGUGGUACAUGUGAAGAAGCCCUUAAAUGCAACAUCAGUGAGUAUGCUCUUUAACACUAAACAGCUUUAAUCAAUUUGCAUGCGAUUUAGAGUAGGCACAGAGACAGAACUCUGAGAAAGUACCGAGGACUUAAACUAGUUAUAGUUCGGCCAUUCAGAGAAUGCGUUCCUGA
rnacentral:misc_RNA from 1 species